GGGGUCGUAGCCUAGCCUGGUAGGGCGACGGGCUCCAAACCCGUAGGUCGCCGGUUCGAUUCCGGUCGGCCCCA
rnacentral:tRNA from 3 species